UACGUAGGGGGCGAGCGUUGUCCGGAUUUAUUGGGCGUAAAGAGCGUGUAGGCGGCCAGGUAGGUCUGCUGUGAAAACUCGAGGCUCAACCUCGAGACGUCGGUUGAAACCGUUUGGCUAGAGUCCGGAAGAGGAGAGUGGAAUUCCCGGUGUAGCGGUGAAAUGCGCAGAUAUCGGGAAGAACACCCGUGGCGAAGGCGGCUCUCUGGGACGGUACUGACGCUGAGACGCGAAAGCGUGGGGAGCGAACAGG
rnacentral:rRNA from 1 species